CGAUCACAUAUGCAAAUAUGAACAGAUAUGAUCAAGUGACACUGCGAACACUCGCUCAGGGGCCCGUGUUGCCCAUUUGUCCAGUAGAAAUUAACGGAGGAGAGUGGGGAUUACCCGCACGGCGUCGCGAAGGAUUUUGGGGGGCGGAGAAGAAUUGGAACUGUGGACAAUGGGUGACGUACAGAAAAAAAGUUCGUUAUUGUUGUGAUAAAAAUUAGGGACUGUUCUUAUGCAUGGUGCACUUACAUAUAUGUCCAAAACAGAAUGUUGUUGGUUGCAAAGAUACGCGGACAAGCGUUUUUCCCAACCUCAAACUACUGUCUCUAUCUCUCCUCGCUGUUGCAACGCUGGUCAGAAGCAGCCGACAACCAAAGUUCGAUUUGGCCCAACGUCGCGUACAUCCUUCUCCCGCCCCGCCUCCUCGUAAUGUCGUCUCCACGCGACUCUCUUCCGUUCUCCACGGCGUCAACUCCUCUCUCCCUUCACUCCUUCCUUGUCCCAUUCACCUCCUCUGUGUGCAACGUUGGGUGUCGCCUAUCACACCCUACCCAUUCCCUCCUCCUAUCAUAAUCCCUACCUCUUUCUAUCCACGGGAGAGGGCAGUAACUUGAAACAAAAAAGCGUUUCUUUUGACAAAACAAAAUGUAUAGUUGUAUAACAAAAUCGAACAGCCAUAACACAUUCCCAACAUGCACACACGGGUUAAAAAAAGCCAUAAAUACACUUUUUUUUAUGUACAGUGACAAAUAAAAACAACAACAUUGCUUUAUUUUCUACGGAGCGCUGUUUGAAGAGAGGGUCAGCGCGCACCAAGGAGAUAUUUAUAUUUGUUUUGAUUUAUGCAGCGUCAUUUCGCGUUUUUGCACUUGUGAAAACGUCGCACCUUUUACGUGCACCUCGCAGUCAAAAUAGCGCCUUCGUCUUCAAGUGAGCGCUCGUCACCCUCCACCUUUCCCGACGACUCGCCUAGGGAGCUUCUGACGAAUUUCACUAGCAAAUGGCUGUAUAAGCCUGAGACGGCCGCUCGAACAAUGAAAUGGCCGUCACAAUAGGUACGGAAGGUUCACAAACCAAAACUAAAUUCGAAACGCGCGCCGAACCGGACUAUUUCGCGGAGCAGUACAUGUGCAGUAGCUCCGCCCCCGUAGCCUUCCCUUCAUUGCCAAGAAAAGUUGUCCUUGGGGGCGCUUUAGUUGUUUGACGGGUGCACGAUGCGCGCGGUUUGUGUGUGUGUGUGCCAUGCUGUGUUCUGCAAUGCUUCGUUACCACGUUUAUCGAUUAUGCACGUUGGUUACUUGAUUCAAUGUCAAGUGUACCUUCCAAGACGAUCUAGGUCCUAGUCUCGUGACUGAAGGCGAGUGCGGACGUACAGCAGCCUUUUGACAAGACUGUCGCCGAGUGUACGGUACAUUGUGGACUGUAAAGCUGAAGAGUGCACAGUGGAUGCCUGAUUUAGGAGCCGAGUGUGAUCGUCUGGGCGGUGUGUUCACUCUGCGGGGAUGAUGGCCAGAGGAAGGAUGAUAGACAGUUCGUGGAACUGAAGCAGACGACAGCUUGCAGACGAAGAUGGGAGCGUUCUACCUGUGAGCCUGGUCGAGCUUAUAUUUUAUGGAUACACAUGCAUGGAUACACAUACAUGGAUACCCUACAAGGACCCUGCGCAUCAAAAGCAAUCUGUCAUCAAUGUUAAGUAGACAGAUUAAACGAAACGAAGAUAUGACAGGUGUACACCAUAUUUUUCUUUCAUUUAACCUCUGCAUGUUUCCCAGUCAAUAAAUGUUUUUAUCCAUUUUCUUUUGUUGAGAAAUGUCUUUGUACAGCACAAGUGUCGUAGAAGGUGCAUACAUGCACUUUUGUAUGAUGCUUGGCUGCAUGUGUAUCAACCAGCAAACACAU